AGUGAACGCUGGCGGUAGGCCUAACACAUGCAAGUCGAACGGCAGCACAGGAGAGCUUGCUCUCUGGGUGGCGAGUGGCGGACGGGUGAGGAAUACAUCGGAAUCUACUCUGGCGUGGGGGAUAACGUAGGGAAACUUACGCUAAUACCGCAUACGACCUACGGGUGAAAGCAGGGGAUCUUCGGACCUUGCGCGAUUGAAUGAGCCGAUGUCGGAUGAGCUAGUUGGCGGGGUAAAGGCCCACCAAGGCGACGAUCCGUAGCUGGUCUGAGAGGAUGAUCAGCCACAAUGGAACUGAGACACGGUCCAGACUCCUACGGGAGGCAGCAGUGGGGAAUAUUGGACAAUGGGCGCAAGCCUGAUCCAGCCAUACCGCGUGGGUGAAGAAGGCCUUCGGGUUGUAAAGCCCUUUUGUUGGGAAAGAAAUCCAGCUGGCUAAUACCCGGUUGGGAUGACGGUACCCAAAGAAUAAGCACCGGCUAACUUCGUGCCAGCCGCCGCAGUAA
rnacentral:rRNA from 1 species